GAGGGUAUAACUCAAUGGUAGAGUGUGUGCUUAGCAUGCAUGAGGUCCUGGGUUUAAUCCCCAGUACCCCCA
rnacentral:tRNA from 1 species